UACGGGGGGGGCAAGCGUUGUUCGGAAUUACUGGGCGUAAAGGGCUCGUAGGUGGCCAACUAAGUCAGACGUGAAAUCCCUCGGCUUAACCGGGGAACUGCGUCUGAUACUGGAUGGCUUGAGUUUGGGAGAGGGAUGCGGAAUUCCAGGUGUAGCGGUGAAAUGCGUAGAUAUCUGGAGGAACACCGGUGGCGAAGGCGGCAUCCUGGACCAACACUGACACUGAGGAGCGUAAGCCAGGGGAGCAAACGGG
rnacentral:rRNA from 1 species